GAGAGCCGGAUGCUUGGAAACUUGCACGUCCGGUUCGGUGGGGGGCAGUUGGAAAAGGGCUUAGAAAGAAGUACCUCGCUGGCUGCCUACCCGACCCAAAC
rnacentral:ncRNA from 1 species